rnacentral:tmRNA from 1 species
CAGACAGCUACGCACGUAGACGCCCGACUUUCCCCCUUUUUGGACGCGGGUUCGAUUCCCGCCAUCUCCACCA